rnacentral:rRNA from 1 species
UUGAGAGUUUGAUCCUGGCUCAGAACGAACGCUGGCGGCAGGCUUAACACAUGCAAGUCGAACGCCCCGCAAGGGGAGUGGCAGACGGGUGAGUAACGCGUGGGAAUCUACCGUGCCCUGCGGAAUAGCUCCGGGAAACUGGAAUUAAUACCGCAUACGCCCUACGGGGGAAAGAUUUAUCGGGGUAUGAUGAGCCCGCGUUGGAUUAGCUAGUUGGUGGGGUAAAGGCCUACCAAGGCGACGAUCCAUAGCUGGUCUGAGAGGAUGAUCAGCCACAUUGGGACUGAGACACGGCCCAAACUCCUACGGGAGGCAGCAGUGGGGAAUAUUGGACAAUGGGCGCAAGCCUGAUCCAGCCAUGCCGCGUGAGUGAUGAAGGCCUUAGGGUUGUAAAGCUCUUUCACCGGAGAAGAUAAUGACGGUAUCCGGAGAAGAAGCCCCGGCUAACUUCGUGCCAGCAGCCGCGGUA